rfam:Felis catus isolate Cinnamon breed Abyssinian chromosome B3, whole genome shotgun sequence.
GCCUGGGUAGCUCAGUUGGUUAAGCAUCUGACUUUGGCUCAGGUCAUGAUCACACGGUCUGUGAGUUCCAGCCCCAUGCCAGGCU